rnacentral:tRNA from 1 species
GGGCCCUUAGCUUAGCUGGUAGAGCGCCGCAUUUGCAAUGCGGAGGUCAGCGGUUCGAAUCCGCUAGGGUCCA